CGUCAGCAUCAGGGCUAGCACAGGCGUGUAGCGGAACGUGGAUCUGCGGUACGGACUCUCGCCCUGCAAACACACGGCAGACGUCAGGUUCAAAUAGGAUGGAAGAGACUGUCGCUACGCAGCGUCGAGCGAACCGAUGGGAGAGAACUCGAGGACCAUCUCAUAUGCGAUUAUGCAAAAAAAAAAAA